rnacentral:snRNA from 1 species
AUACUUACCUGGCAGGGGAGAUACCAUGAUCACAAAGGUGGUUUUCCCAGGGCAAGGCUUAUCCAUUGCACUCUGGAUGUGCUGACCCCUGCGAUUUCCCCAGAUGUGAGAAACUCGACUGCAUAAUUUGUGGUAGUGGAGGACUGCA